rnacentral:rRNA from 1 species
UACGUAGGGUGCGAGCGUUGUCCGGAAUUACUGGGCGUAAAGAGCUCGUAGGUGGUUUGUCGCGUUGUUCGUGAAAACCGGGGGCUUAACUCUCGGCGUGCGGGCGAUACGGGCAGACCGGAGUACUGCAGGGGAGACUGGAAUUCCUGGUGUAGCGGCGGAAUGCGCAGAUAUCAGGAGGAACACCGGUGGCGAAGGCGGUUCUCUGGGCAUUACCUGACGCUGAGGAGCGAAAGCAUGGGGAGCGAACAGG